rnacentral:rRNA from 1 species
GAUGAACGCUGGCGGCGUGCCUAAUACAUGCAAGUCGAGCGAACAGACGAGGAGCUUGCUCCUCUUACGUUAGCGGCGGACGGGUGAGUAACACGUGGAUAACCUACCUAUAAGACUGGGAUAACUUCGGGAAACCGGAGCUAAUACCGGAUAAUAUAGUGAACCGCAUGGUUCAAUAGUGAAAGACGGUUUUGCUGUCACUUAUUGAUGGAUCCACGCCGCAUUAGCUAGUUGGUAAGGUAACGGCUUACCAAGGCAACGAUGCGUAGCCGACCUGAGAGGGUGAUCGGCCACACUGGAACUGAGACACGGUCCAGACUCCUACGGGAGGCAGCAGUAGGGAAUCUUCCGCAAUGGGCGAAAGCCUGACGGAGCAACGCCGCGUGAGUGAUGAAGGUCUUCGGAUCGUAAAACUCUGUUAUUAGGGAAGAACAAAUGUGUGAGUAACUAUGCACGUCUUGACGGUACCUAAUCAGAAAGCCACGGCUAACUACGUG